UGCCAAGGAAGUUUUUACUGUCUUAGCCUCACUGGGUGCUUCACACAGCAUUCGGUGCUGGUUUUGGAGGAGGAGAGCUGGCAGGCCCCACUGAAGCUUGCUGAGUUGUUUCUUUAGGAGGUGGCGUUCCAGUGCUUCACACUCAGCCAGCGACAGGAACGGGACAGUAAUCUGUGCUCCUUCACGCUCACAGGGAGUCUUGCCAUUCAGAGAGGUCGGGGAAGAGGGAAAGGCUGACUUACAUGGUGUUUUGGGUAAGAAAAGGCCCGAGAGUACCCCUGAGGGCUGAGCAUCUGUGGAGGGCUUGGACAUAUCCUUUUUCUUGCAGGUACCUUGAGAACUCAAGUAAGUAACAUCCAAGGACUCACUGUGAAGGGAUGGAAAGGUCCCAAACCGUGAAGAAUCUUUUUUGAUGGUUCUCUGCCG
rnacentral:lncRNA from 1 species